AGUUUGAUCCUGGCUCAGAUUGAACGCUGGCGGCAUGCCUUACACAUGCAAGUCGAACGGCAGCACGGGAGCAAUCCUGGUGGCGAGUGGCGAACGGGUGAGUAAUAUAUCGGAACGUGCCCAGUCGUGGGGGAUAACGCAGCGAAAGCUGUGCUAAUACCGCAUACGAUCUCUGGAUGAAAGCGGGGGACUCGUAAGAGCCUCGCGCGAUUGGAGCGGCCGAUAUCAGAUUAGCUAGUUGGUGGGGUAAAGGCCCACCAAGGCGACGAUCUGUAGCUGGUCUGAGAGGACGACCAGCCACACUGGAACUGAGACACGGUCCAGACUCCUACGGGAGGCAGCAGUGGGGAAUUUUGGACAAUGGGCGCAAGCCUGAUCCAGCAAUGCCGCGUGCAGGAUGAAGGCCUUCGGGUUGUAAACUGCUUUUGUACGGAACGAAAAGGUCUGCCUUAAUACGGUGGGCCCAUGACGGUACCGUAAGAAUAAGCACCGGCUAACUACGUGCCAGCAGCCGCGGUAAUACGUAGGGUGCGAGCGUUAAUCGGAAUUACUGGGCGUAAAGCGUGCGCAGGCGGUUAUAUAAGACAGAUGUGAAAUCCCCGGGCUCAACCUGGGACCUGCAUUUGUGACUGUAUAGCUAGAGUACGGUAGAGGGGGAUGGAAUUCCG
rnacentral:rRNA from 1 species